UACGUAGGGUGCGAGCGUUGUCCGGAAUUAUUGGGCGUAAAGGAGCUCGUAGGCGGUCUGUCGCGUCGGCUGUGAAAACCCGGGGCUCAACCCCGGGCCUGCAGUCGAUACGGGCAGACUAGAGUGUGGUAGGGGAGACUGGAAUUCCUGGUGUAGCGGUGAAAUGCGCAGAUAUCAGGAGGAACACCGGUGGCGAAGGCGGGUCUCUGGGCCAUAACUGACGUGAGGAGCGAAAGCGUGGGGAGCGAACAGG
rnacentral:rRNA from 1 species